GGAAAUGAUUGAAUUCUGAUUUUGUUUACAUGUUACAACUUGUUUGGAAACUGGUUUGUCAAUAAUAUUGAUAAACCCGAGGCUAAAGCCAGUCUUGAACAUAAAAGCAGAAGGCUGAACCUUUCUGAUGAUUUCUUCUUCUGAUAGUGAAAUGUUUCAACUUUUCCAGGAAACCUUCAGGUUUUAUUUUUCCAGGUCUGAAUGGGUUAAACAGGGACAGUGGAAACCAGUUCUGGUGUUUCCAGUUCUACGACUGACCCGGCAGGACCGCUGCUGGUUCCUCACAAACAACAAUCUGGAGAUCAAAAGAACUCAGAAGCUUCUGAUGAGGAUGUUGAUGAAAGAAAUCUGUAUUCGUUUACUUCUUUUAUGAAGAGUAAAUGUGUGUGUGUGUGUGUGUGUGUGCGUGUGUGUGUGUGUGUGCGUGUGUACAGCAUCUUAUUACCUCUGUGUUUAAAUGAUUAUGAGAGUAACACUAACAGUGAGCCAUAUUUAAUGUGAAAUACUUGUCUUAUGAAGGGGAAAGGGCCAUAGCUGAUGAGUGAGUUUGUUUGUUAUUUACAGAACCAUCUUUUUAUCGAUUUUUCCGUCCCAGUAGCAAGUGUGUUUCCUGUGAGUUUGGAGGGAAGUAUGAGGUGUGAACAGCAUAAACAGAGUCAUCCGUUUACAGUGUCAGACGUUAUAAUCAUGUUGGAAUGAAGCCGCUGGUCUGAUGGUUGGAGAUGCACAGUGUCAAAGGUCAGAGAGGUCAGAUGUUAAAAGAAAAACAUUUAAAAAAGAUCAGCUGAAAAAUGUCCAGUCUACAACGGAGGUGACUACACCUCGGCAACACCUGUUAGAGGAUUCAAAGUGACUUCAAAUGUCAACAGUGAAGUUUUUAUGUUUCUUCGGAGAGACCUCUCUGAAAGCUCAGCUCCAUGCAAAACCAGUAAAUCUACCUCUGUCGACUGACUGACUGAAGGAAAACUUGGCCCAUGGCUUCUGAUUAUGCAAACUUUAGGAACUUUGCUGCAAACGGAGCUGUGGGCAGUUAAAAGACGAGUGUGUGUCUGCAUGUUGACGUCAUGGCUCAGCAUGAAUGGAGGAAUCUGGAAACAGGGAAAUGAGCGGCUGACUUCGGAUCAGCAGCAGAUGGGAAGGACCGAGCUAACGGUGCUCAGCAGAACAGGCUCUUCUAACAGAGAUCAUCAACGGACAGUUAGAAAGUAAAACUGACUAAACUACAUGUCAAAUGAUGAAGGUGGUGCUCUUCAAUUCAAUUCAGCUUUAUUUAUACAGCAACAAAGUCAUUUCAAGAUACUUUUACAGACUCAAUCCAAUUAAUUCUAGUCCAGUAAUUAUAAAUUAAAUGACCCACAUUAUUCCAACUCACAAUGACUGGUUCAUAUAAACCAGUUGCUAAUGACCUGCUAAGGAAACCAGCGGGUUGGAUCAGAUCUCUUUCAUUCAAUCUGCCAACCUGAGCUGCAGAAGCAGGCAGUGGAGAAGAAAACCUCCAUCAGAACCAGGACCAGGAAGGAAAGGCUCCAUCUGAACCAGGACCAGGAAGGAAAACCUCCAUCUAAACCAGGACCUCCAUCUGUCCAGUCCCAUCAAAGCAGCGACCAGUACCCAGUUGUGGUUUUACUGGGUCUGAUGCAGACCACCUGAUUUUUGAUGAGUCAUGUGAUCACACGGUUCCAGGGCUCCUUCACUGGAAACUAAACAGAAAAUCUAUUUUCUGCUGGUUUGGACGUCAUAAAAAUGAAGUUGCAUAACAUAAACCUGAAAUAUUUCUACAGGUUUCUUUUCAUUUCUGCAUAAACACGAGCUGAAACAUUAGCAGAUUUUAGUAAAGAUUCAGUCAGAAAUGAUGAAGCUGCAUAUAAAAGCCAAACUGAUGAUGAAGAUGCUCCUCCUUGGUGUAUCCAUCCUUUAUGUCCCCUCCAGGAAGGAUCUAGCUUUUCUGUUUUCUCUGUGGAGGGUUUUGUCUUCUUUUCCAUCAUGUUUGCCAGUUUAGCGAUUCUGUUCUCAGAGCUCUGAAAUCACCGAGAUCAAACGUCCUGCAGCCGUUGUAUUUUCCUCUGAUGUGAGAGAGUUAACUGACAAACAUCCUGAUCUCGGUUCCUCUUCGUGUUCUUCAGGGACGUCUUCAUCUGGGGGGUUCUAGUAUAACCGUACUGCUCUCACAGUCACAUCUGUCAAUGAACUUUUAUCAUUUUCUGAUCACCAAAAAAGCUCUCUUUUGAUUGGACUGCUGGGAGUCGUUGAUCAGCUUCCCAUGGCAGUGUUGAGGCGUCCUGCAGCCUCUGCUGUGACCAGAUAUAAUCCAAAUAAUCCAGAUCUGAGACUUUCUGGUGAAAGUUCACAGAUUUGCUUAAAACUCUGUCACUUACUGUCCCAUAAAACCUAAAAACACGUUGAAUUUCACAUGAUCAAACUCCCUCAAAACCUCUGUUUUACUCCAUCUGACCUAUUAUUAUUCAUUAUUAUGAUCAUUAUUGUUGUUAUUAUUAUUAUUUUUAUUAUAUUAUUAUUUUUAUUGUUAUUAUUUUUAUUAUUAUUAUUAUUAUUAUUACAUGUAAAACAGCUGCAAUCUGACCUGAGCCUUUGGAUGAAGAUCUGUCCUGAUGAUGUUUCAGGUCAUAUUUCUUUAGGAAAAAAUAGAAAACUGUAAAGUGUUUACAAUCAGUCCAUUAAGCUGCAGAAAAUGUGUAAUUUACCAUAAAAGAAGACAAACACAACAUUUUGUGAUAAGAAAAUCUAUUUUUUGACCGGAAACUGAAACUGGGUUGAAACGGAUCCAGAAUAUUUCACCUGCAACUCCAACCAGCUCAUCAGCUUCACGCGGCUCUGUUUCCUCAGGAAGAGAUGGGAAUCUGCCAGACGUGUGUGUGUGUGUGUGUGUGUGUGUGUCGUAUAAGGUUUAUAUAAAUGACCACGUGGAGAAGCGUUGUGUGUGUGAAGUGUCCAUGAAGUGCUUCCUUGUUUUCUAUAUCGGGCCUUUCCUCAGUAUGAUCCUGUAGCUGCAUAUAGUCCUUCUGUAGAUGAACUCAUACCUGCGACCGAUUUCUUGUGUUUGUACAGAAAAUGAUGAGGGUGUUUCAUGACGCAUGCAGACACAAUAUUCGUACAUAUAAAUCUAUAUCUAAUUUGAAAACUUGUAUUUGGUUUAUUUAUUCUCUUUUUUCUUGAUUUUUUUUAAACUAUGAAAUUCUGUUCAAGUGAUCUGUCAUGCUCCCCUAAUCUUACAUUGUAAUGUAAAGAGAUUAUUAUAUGUCCAUAACUAUCGAUGAACCCAUAAUAAAAUCAAUUAUCAACAUUU